CCCCUCUCAGGGUCGCACCCGGAGAGUUUCCAGUACUCUACCACUCUCGGCUGCGGGAGGGAGAGUCGAGCAGAGUCCUACCCAUUCCGUUCCUAGCUUGGCCAGUGGCUAGCCAGUGGAAGGCAACCUGCCACAAGU